rnacentral:lncRNA from 1 species
AUUCCAGCUUAAACAACUCCCCCAUCACUGAGCCUUCUGGCUGCUAUUCCGAGCUCAUUCUGCACAGCCCAUCUUUGCAUGACAGGGACUUAUGACUGUGCUCCCGUUCAGGUGUGUGUGACCACCUCUGGGGUGUGCCCCCUGCCCAAAGGCAACAGUUCCCACAGAAGAGAGGAGCAGCGAGCCCACGCACCUUCCAAGGCCCAGCAAAAGCUCGCAAAAGUGAACCACCACAGAGGAGUUAAAAACCCUCACUGCAAGGGAACUACGCUUCGAGGGAAAUGAAGAUCAAAUCCUGGUUUCGAUGGUACUUGUUGAGAGUUCACCUGUUUCGCCCACAGUAAUGAACAGGUGGAUGACAAUGAAGCCAAGUGCAUCAAAGGAAACAGAUGAAACCCUAAGCAGAAUCCACCUGCAAGUUUCAUCAUGUACAGCAGGCGCCCGGCCUCUGCCUGCAGCUCUGCCAAGCCCAAGGUGAAACCUCCCACCCGCUCAGCACCCAGCACGACUUCCUCCUGCUGAGGCAACCUGGAUCAGACCAAACGGACCCUUCCAAGAGACAGAAGGAAACAACACACAUGACUCUGGAAAGACUCGAGAUGCUCCAGCAGCCGCCCAGGGCUUCAGACGCUCUGGAAGGGACGUGCUGGCCCCAGGAGCUGCCAGAAGCCCGGCCCCGCCAGGCGUUGCUUCACGGCAGUUUCAUUCAUUCCCUUCCCAGGGAUUUCAGCCGGCUGCGUCAGACAAUUGCUCACUCUUGCUGAGGGCAAAUCUCUGAAUAGUUCUGAGGUGCUGCUGCCAAACCGCCUGGGUGCUCUGCCCUAAACGGCAGGACAGCACGCCUCACUCUUUGCCAGCAUAUGCCGGGGGGUGGCACAGGGCUCGGCUCUCCUAAGCCUUUGAGAAGACCGUUUUACACCUCGGGAGGAAGGGGAAAAACGAAUGUCUCUCCACCUCAACGUGGAACUUGGAGAUGUCAAAAUAAAAA